rnacentral:rRNA from 1 species
CAGUAGCCGCGGUAAUACGUAGAGUGCGAGCGUUAAUCGGAAUUACUGGGCGUAAAGCGUGCGCAGGCGGUUGUGUAAGACAGGUGUGAAAUCCCCGGGCUUAACCUGGGAACUGCGCUUGUGACUGCACAGCUAGAGUAUGGCAGAGGGGGGUGGAAUUCCACGUGUAGCAGUGAGAUGCGUAGAGAUGUGGAGGAACACCGAUGGCGAAGGCAGCCCCCUGGGCCAAUACUGACGCUCAUGCACGAAGGCGUGGGGAGCAAACAGGAUUAGAUACCCCCGUAGUCCCUGUCUCUUAUAA